rnacentral:rRNA from 1 species
GAUGAACGCUAGCUACAGGCUUAACACAUGCAAGUCGCGGGGCAGCAUUUCCUUAGCUUGCUAAGGAAGAUGGCGACCGGCGCACGGGUGAGUAACGCGUAUCCAACCUUCCCAUGUCCACGGGAUAGCCCGUCGAAAGGCGGAUUAAUACCGUAUGAGGUCACAUGCGGGCAUCUAAGUGUGACGAAAGGUUUUGCGGACAUGGAUGGGGAUGCGUCCGAUUAGCUGGUUGGCGGGGUAACGGCCCACCAAGGCGACGAUCGGUAGGGGUUCUGAGAGGAAGGUCCCCCACAUUGGAACUGAGACACGGUCCAAACUCCUACGGGAGGCAGCAGUGAGGAAUAUUGGUCAAUGGACGUAAGUCUGAACCAGCCAAGUAGCGUGCAGGAUGACGGCCCUAUGGGGUUGUAAACUGCUUUUAUGCGGGGAUAAAGUGUGGGACGUGUCCCAUAUUGUAGGUACCGCAUGAAUAAGGACCGGCUAAUUCCGUG